rnacentral:misc_RNA from 1 species
AAAGCUCUUUGUUUUUUGAAAGGGUGCUUUUAUGAGAUAGAGCUUUUUUAGAUAAUGCUGGGGAAGGUUUUCCGGUUUAUCUCGGAGGGCUUGUAGCUCAGUUGGUUAGAGCGCGCGCUUGAUAAGCGUGAGGUCGGAGGUUCAAGUCCUCCCAGGCCCACCAAUUUACCUAUCCAUUUGCCUUUAUCCGUUUAUUUGCCGAUUUAUCGGUCCAUUGAAUUUAAGUGUUGGUAGCGGUUUUUAUAAUGAUGAGAAAUCAUGCUUAUAAAAGAAUUCCUUAUAAAAGGCUUGUUUUUAAAAUGUGACGCUUAUCCAUUUCGCUUAGGCAAAAGAAACUUCAAGCGGUCAAAUGCAAAAGGCUUUAAAUUUUGCAAAACACUUUGAAUUUUAAAGUGAUCCAAGUUCGUGAUCUCGAAUUUAAAAGUUUCGAAUGCUUUAUCCUUUUUUGGGGGCCGUAGCUCAGCUGGGAGAGCACCUGCUUUGCAAGCAGGGGGUCGUC